rnacentral:rRNA from 1 species
GGAGUGGAAGUAACGUGAUGUAUGGAGCGGACUGAUACUAAUCGAUCGAGGACUUAACCAAU